rnacentral:rRNA from 1 species
AGCUUGCUCUGGUGGCGAGUGGCGAACGGGUGAGUAAUAUAUCGGAACGUACCCUAGAGUGGGGGAUAACGUAGCGAAAGUUACGCUAAUACCGCAUACGAUCUAAGGAUGAAAGUGGGGGAUCGCAAGACCUCAUGCUCGUGGAGCGGCCGAUAUCUGAUUAGCUAGUUGGUAGGGUAAAAGCCUACCAAGGCAUCGAUCAGUAGCUGGUCUGAGAGGACGACCAGCCACACUGGAACUGAGACACGGUCCAGACUCCUACGGGAGGCAGCAGUGGGGAAUUUUGGACAAUGGGCGAAAGCCUGAUCCAGCAAUGCCGCGUGAGUGAAGAAGGCCUUCGGGUUGUAAAGCUCUUUUGUCAGGGAAGAAACGGUGAGAGCUAAUAUCUCUUGCUAAUGACGGUACCUGAAGAAUAAGCACCGGCUAACUACGUGCCAGCAGCCGCGGUAAUACGUAGGGUGCAAGCGUUAAUCGGAAUUACUGGGCGUAAAGCGUGCGCAGGCGGUUUUGUAAGUCUGAUGUGAAAUCCCCGGGCUCAACCUGGGAAUUGCAUUGGAGACUGCAAGGCUAGAAUCUGGCAGAGGGGGGUAGAAUUCCACGUGUAGCAGUGAAAUGCGUAGAUAUGUGGAGGAACACCGAUGGCGAAGGCAGCCCCCUGGGUCAAGAUUGACGCUCAUGCACGAAAGCGUGGGGAGCAAACAGGAUUAGAUACCCUGGUAGUCCACGCCCUAAACGAUGUCUACUAGUUGUCGGGUCUUAAUUGACUUGGUAACGCAGCUAACGCGUGAAGUAGACCGCCUGGGGAGUACGGUCGCAAGAUUAAAACUCAAAGGAAUUGACGGGGACCCGCACAAGCGGUGGAUGAUGUGGAUUAAUUCGAUGCAACGCGAAAAACCUUACCUACCCUUGACAUGGCUGGAAUCCCCGAGAGAUUGGGGAGUGCUCGAAAGAGAACCAGUACACA